CCUCUUUCCGAUGUGAGAUAUCUCUGAUCCCUGAGUAUACUGACUCAGCACAUCGUACUCUAGAGGCCCUAUGCUCUGAUACCAAUCUGUAACAACCCGGAAACCGGUACCCCUCAGUAACGGUCCGAACCAUCACUGGCACUAGGAUCCAGAUCGGCUUAAGGCCGCCGGGACCCAUAGUCAGCCAACUAUACUCUCUGUGUACCUGAUAAAUCCCAU
rnacentral:lncRNA from 1 species